rnacentral:rRNA from 1 species
GAUGAACGCUGGCGGCGUGCCUAAUACAUGCAAGUCGAGCGAACGGACGAGAAGCUUGCUUCUCUGAUGUUAGCGGCGGACGGGUGAGUAACACGUGGAUAACCUACCUAUAAGACUGGGAUAACUUCGGGAAACCGGAUCUAAUACCGGAUGAUAUUUUGAACCGCAUGGUUCAAAAGUGAAAGACGGUCUUGCUGUCACUUAUAGAUGGAUCCGCGCUGCAUUAGCUAGUUGGUAAGGUAACGGCUUACCAAGGCAACGAUGCAUAGCCGACCUGAGAGGGUGAUCAGCCACACUGGAACUGAGACACGGUCCAGACUCCUACGGGAGGCAGCAGUAGGGAAUCUUCCGCAAUGGGCGCAAGCCUGACGGAGCAACGCCGCGUGAGUGAUGAAGGUCUUCGGAUCGUAAAACUCUGUUAUUAGGGAAGAACAUAUGUGUAAGUAACUGUGCACAUCUUGACGGUACCUAAUCAGAAAGCCCCGGCUAACUACGUG